rnacentral:rRNA from 1 species
UAGUAACGCGUGGGAAUCUGCCCUUAGGAGGGGGAUAACGGCUGGAAACGGCCGCUAAUACCCCAUAUGCCGAGAGGUGAAACGAAUUUCGCCUGAGGAUGAGCCCGCGUCUGAUUAGCUAGUUGGUGGGGUAAGAGCCCACCAAGGCGACGAUCAGUAGCUGGUCUGAGAGGAUGAUCAGCCACACUGGGACUGAGACACGGCCCAGACUCCUACGGGAGGCAGCAGUGGGGAAUUUUCCGCAAUGGGCGAAAGCCUGACGGAGCAACGCCGCGUGAGGGAUGAAGGCCUCUGGGCUGUAAACCUCUUUUCUCAAGGAAGAAGACAUGACGGUACUUGAGGAAUAAGCCACGGCUAAUUCCGUGCCAGCAGCCGCGGUAAUACGGGAGUGGCAAGCGUUAUCCGGAAUUAUUGGGCGUAAAGCGUCCGCAGGCGGCUCUGUAAGUCUGUUGUUAAAGCGUGGAGCUCAACUCCAUUUCAGCAAUGGAAACUACAGGGCUUGAGUGUGGUAGGGGCAGAGGGGAUUCCCGGUGUAGCGGUGAAAUGCGUAGAUAUCGGGAAGAACACCAGUGGCGAAGGCGCUCUGCUGGGCCAUAACUGACGCUCAUGGACGAAAGCCAGGGGAGUGAAAGGGAUUAGAUACCCCUGUAGUCCUGGCCGUAAACGAUGAACACUAGGUGUCGGGGGAAUCGACCCCCUCGGUGUCGUAGCCAACGCGUUAAGUGUUCCGCCUGGGGAGUACGCACGCAAGUGUGAAACUCAAAGGAAUUGACGGGGGCCCGCACAAGCGGUGGAGUAUGUGGUUUAAUUCGAUGCAACGCGAAGAACCUUACCAGGGUUUGACAUCCUGCGAAUCCCUUGGAAACUUGGGAGUGCCUUCGGGAGCGCAGAGACAGGUGGUGCAUGGCUGUCGUCAGCUCGUGUCGUGAGAUGUUGGGUUAAGUCCCGCAACGAGCGCAACCCACGUCUUUAGUUGCCAGCAUUCAGUUGGGCACUCUAGAGAGACCGCCGGUGAUAAACCGGAGGAAGGUGUGGAUGACGUCAAGUCAUCAUGCCCCUUACAUCCUGGGCUACACACGUACUACAAUGCUACGGACAGAGGGCAGCAAGCUCGCGAGAGUUAGCAAAUCCCAUAAACCGUGGCUCAGUUCAGAUCGUAGGCUGCAACUCGCCUACGUGAAGGAGGAAUCGCUAGUAAUCGCAGGUCAGCAUACUGCGGUGAAUACGUUCCCGGGCCUUGUACACACCGCCCGUCACACCAUGGAAGUUGGCCAUGCCCGAAGUCGUUA